UCUAUUAAAGUCUGUACUACAGAUUCUUCCAUUUAUAUUGAGAAUUUGAACAAUUAAGCCAUCAUUGGGACUUUACCUUAAGCCGAAUGAGCAAGAACAAUUUCUCUGACACAUUUCAGUGCUAGAGAAACAGAGCAAUGGGGGGAGUGGCCAAGACCAAGACUGAAUGUAUAGCAGAGUGCCUUGUUAGAGUGACAACCUAGUCUUGGAAAGAAGGGACUCAGAUGUCCCACGGAGAGGACUGGGACCAUGCUGCUUCUCCCACUCCGGCCUGAGGGAGAGCCCCUUGGUAAAUGUACACCGAUGUGAUGCUCAGAAGCCAAUUUGUGGAGAAUAACUGCAGGAUGGGGAAAAGAGCCGAUGUAACCUGUGGAGUCAACAAACAAAUCAUGAGUGAGGUCUCCCAACCCCUAGAUGAAGUUAGAACUGGAGCCAGUCACACAGCAGUGGGUUCCCAGCUUGGCCCUCUGGAGAUGACCUGGUUGAUAAGGAUGGAAAAUUCUGGUCCAGCCUAAUGAGUGAACAGGAUGGCUGCCCACGAAACCGGGUUAUUAGUUUUACCUCAUUGAAGCUCAUAUUCUCAGAGGCCCAGAGUGCUGUGCCGGGACAAAUCCAAGUGCUGCUCUCGCUGACGUCCAGCUGCCCAUGCUUACGGCAGUGCCCAGAGCAGGGGUUCCACGGACCAAAACCGAGGCCACAAGGGAAGCCAGAGGAGCGACAGUGCAAGAUCCUAGAUAGAGAUUAUACCAAAGAAACCAAGCCUUCUUGUCCUGAUGCUUGAGUUAUGACAGAUGCCAGAGAAGGAGAACUCAUACAUUCCACAUCAAGGUAUUUGGCUGAUAAAAUAAUCCGUCCUCGAAACAAAGCACCUAUCUUUUUUAGAGAAAUCCAUUUUGUAUAUUAGGAAAAAAAGAAAAGAUGAUGGUGAUGUGAAAGUCUGGGACAGACGGUGACACUAACCAGUAAGUAAGGAAAAGGAGCCAGCCCCCCACCCCAUGACGUGACUGUGACCGUUGCCCUGGCUUCAGUUUGGGAACAUCGUCAUGUCCAUGUGAUUCUGAAAGCUGAGUGAUCUUUUCCAAGAGAUGUGGUAGUUUCAACAGCUUCAACAGAACUCCUGGGAGAUUUCUUAACAAAUUCUAGUCGUUUUUAGAAACCUUCCUACAGAGGUAGUUACCACUCAUCACCGUCAUUUAAUAUUUAUAAGUGCCCAGAAUGUACAAGGUGCUAUACAGCUGUUACACAUCCCCUCUCUGCAGCUGUGUGAAGUUAGAGUAGGUUUUUGCCUCAGCCACGGCUAGAAGCUUUCCCACCUAAGUGGGCUUCAGGGCCCUGCGUUCCGGACCUCCUGUCCCAUGUUUCCCCUCCAGAGAGCCUCUGGGCUCAUUCUAGCUUCUCACCUUCUCCCAUCCCACUCACCCCCAUGCUUUGUUUUUUUAAUCCAGAAAGUUUCAGGGAAUCAAAAGAGGUUGGAAAUUUUUUAACCUAGCAGAAGUACAGAGUCUUAUAUUUUGCUACAAUUAUUAUUGUAUUAUGGAAAAUCCACUUUGCCCGUAUGGUGUGUGGAAAGUACCUGUAUGUCUGCACUCGUGGUGACUUGAAUGUUGAAUAGCCUGUGGCUUCAGGGCAGCAUUUUUGAAAGAUAAACCACACGCUUCAGGAAACUCGCUCCAAGUACUACUUGGUUAUCUCUUCCCUCACCAGCUUGAAAGUUGUGUGUGAACAUACUGGGUUGGGAUUUUCUGUUGCUACGCAGGGCAUUUGGGCAUGAGAUCCGGGCAGAAGCAAGAUGUCCUCUUUCCCAGUGUUUGAUUCAUGGCAGUCUUCAUUCCAGUCUCCUUAGUUCCCCAUGGCUCUGCCCACACUCUGUAUUUGAAAAUCUUGUUCUCUUGCUCUCUCCUGGAGCUUCGACCCUCUACACAUUUUAGAGUUAUAUAAAUCUACCAAUGUAAGGUCCCCUCUGUCACCAGGUGGUGCCGCCCUUUGGUUUGCUGUGGUACUUUGCUGUGUUCUCUGUGGCAUCAUGUUACUGUGUAAAUAAAUUUGUUUUAAUAUACACUAAAAACCAGA